rnacentral:lncRNA from 1 species
GAUUAGUGAUGGUGACAAGCGAUUUUGACAAGGAAAGACGUGUUUUAACACAAUGUUUUAAAAUCGGACCGAACCGGCCGGUUUGACCGGUUGAACGACCGUCCGUCGGUCCGUAGAAACGGUCCGGUUACUCCUAAACCCGUUUUGGUCAAAAUCCGGUCAAACCCGGUCAAUCCGGCGGUUGAACCGGUAACGUCCAAUUGAACUGGAUUGAACCGGUUGACUGAGAGAAUAUUUGAGCGUUUUAUUGGGUUAAUCACACUUUAGACCCUCACAAUUUUUAAGUUAUCUCCCUUGAUUCAACAAUAUUAAAAUUAUUGCAAUUAAACAUCCUCAAUUAUUUUUAUGUUUUAUCUUUAAUAAAUAAUUUAUGACAUCACGUUCUGAUAACGUUACCGACGGUUUUGAACCGGUGACAACCGUGACCCAGUGCCUUUUAUCCGGAUUCAGCCUCGGUUUUCCGGUUUUUAAAACAUUUGGUUCAACAUACCUACAAGAUCGAAACAAUAAGAAGGACAGUCCCAAACUGUCUGAGAACGGCUUCAUCCAUUAGUCAAGUUAGCGACUAAAAAAGAAGAGGGAGAGAGAUAUUCUUGCUCUUGUCUUAGAGAGAAAAAGUCAGGAAAGAGAGAUUGUGUUACCUCCUUGUGAGAGAGGGCUAUAUCCCCUUUUAUAGUGCAACUCGGCUCGUGUUAGAAAGCGUCGACUGCCAUGUUCAAGUAGGCAGCUAACCCAAUCAUAUCGUCAAAGUUCGGACCCUAGCGAGCGAGUGAUAGAGAAAAAUUAUUGUAUAUGUUAUCAUCUAAUCCUGAAGUUUGGCCUUGGGCUUCUCUGCCUGAACAAGUCAACCAACCGAGCUCUCGCACAAAGAUGCCAACCAAAGUUGUUGAUAAUUGAUAGUCCUGGUAAUGCCACUGCUCAUCGUAAUCUUACAGGUCACAAAUGAAGCAGUAUAUUUUAUCCUCCCACAAACCUAAUAAGCUUUCUCUACGAAGCAAAAUUCUAAAUAGACUCAUUAUGCUCAUCUUUAAUGCCUAGUAUAGUGCAAUGCUAAUAUUUUGACUCUCUCUCUCUCUCUCAAUGUUUAUAAGUUUAUGCUUGCGGUCUGAUAUUAGGGGCUGGCUUUGGCUCCAAGCUUGUAUAUAGAUCUGGGUUCUUCCAUUUGAGGAUAAAGCUACCAGACAAGGACUCUGCAGGAGUUGUUACCGCUUUCUAUGUAACGAUAAAACUAUUCUUAAUCUUCCAUCCUUAAUGUUACGAAAUGCUUUCAUAAUUGUAUAGUUAUAGGUUCGAUGAAGGUUAGCUUAUUCACAAGAGCCUGCUUAUUUUUUUUAUUUAUUGCAGCUAACUUCACACACAGAUAACCAUGAUGAGCUAGACUUUGAGUUCUUGGGAAAUAGAGAAGGAAGACCGAUCACUUUACAAACAAAUGUGUUCUCAAAUGGACAAGGGAAUAGAGAGCAAAGGAUCCAUCUGUGGUUUGACCCCACAGCUGAUUUUCAUACUUACAAGAUCAUGUGGAACCAACACCAGAUUGUGUAGGAACAAGCCCCCUCUCUCUCUCUCUCUCUCUCU